AAAAUGUCAUUGAAGGGGUUUCCACUCCCCCUCACCCACCACUUUCCCCCAAUCAACCCACCUUGGCCUGAGUCCCUACAGCCCCACUGAGGUUACUCCUUCCACGGACGCUGUGACUUCCAAGCGACACCGCAGUGGGUGUCUUUCUGUUCUCAUCUUGUUUGGCGUUCCCACAGUUUUGGACAGGGUGGAAAUGCUCUCCUCUCUGGCCUCCAGAACACCCUUCUCUUGGGGUUUUCUUUCUGCCUCCUUCACUUGCUUUCUCCCUGACCCAACCUGAAGUGCUGGAGUGCCUCAGCGCCUAGCUGGCAGCCCUCUUUGGUACGAGUUCAGAUGCUCUCCCGAGAAGACCCUAUCCCGUCCGUCACUUCCACGGACUACUUCACAGGUGCAGAUAACUCACACUUAUGCGGCAAGGCACACUGCUCUGAGCACUAGACACUUACCAUGCUGCACACAGAGCGGCUCCAUGUGUCUCAAAUCGAACACAUUCAAAAUGAUCUCAGUGAAAGUGCUACCUCCUGGGACAGGCUGUUAGGGGCCGAGUUAUGUCCCCCCUACAUUUGUAUGUUGAAACCCUAACACCCCGUAUCUCGGAACGUGACUGUAUUGGGAAAGAGUGUCAUCAAAGACGGAAGUUAAAACGAGGCCCUCAGAGUGGGCCUUCGCUCAAUAUGACUGGUGUCCUUUUAAGCAGAGGAGGUACAGACACCAGACAAGCACGCACCCCGAGGGAGGGCCAGGUGAAGGCGCGGGGAGAAAAUGACCACCUGGAAGCCAAGGAGAGAAGCCUCAGAAGAGACCAACCCCGCUGACAUCUUGAUCUUGGACUUCCAGCCACCAGAACUGGGAGGAAAUUCAUUUCUGUUGGUUGAGCCACCUGGCCUGUGCCAUUUUGUUUUGGGAGCGCUAGAAAACGUAUACAGAGGCCUUUCCUGGGCUCCAGCCUAAGAAGCCACUAGUAACUUUCUGCCACAUCAUUUUACUCUAAUUAUGUGCACAGGAAUCACUCUGGUCACUUCCCUGUUCGCAUAUUUAUUAUCUGUCCCCUCAUUAAACGAUAAGAGCAGGGCUCCGUCACCACUGACUUGCAUUGCCUACUGCGGCGUAGGGCACACAGAAAUCUCUUAAUAAAUAUCUACUGGCUGAAUGAAUACAUGACUCUCCACUCUCGUUUAUUCUAAAUAAAGCUGAAGAGGGAAGAGGAAGGAAGGAAGUGAAGGGGAGGCACCAGGAGAAUAAAAAUAAGCUGGAUAUUUUCCAAAUCACUGGAGAAUAAAAGAGGCAAAAAUAGUCAAAGAAUUGAAGGGAAACAGUAAGGGAGGAUUUUUUAAAAAUGGAACGCAAACAAAUGAAAUAAAAAAAAUUACAAGAACUGAGUAUAUUGGUUAUUAAAUAAAUGUGCCGCGGCUUAACACCUCUGGUGCAAUAAAAGCCUCUCACAUAGAGACACAACAAGAUCUUAAGAUAAGCUGCAGGAAAGAGAUGUACGUAAAAUAAAAUUAUGUGAAAAGAUGAAAAGGGAUGAGCAAAGAUGUGUAGGGAAAACGCAAACAAGCAGCGAGUCAGGGCUGGCAGCAGUGAUGUUACAGGGCAUCGAAUUCAAAGCAGAGUGUCAGAGAUAAGAGGGUAGCACCCACUGUAGUUAUAUAAGGCAGUGAAUUCUUAUGUAUCAAACAUAAAACAUAUUUUAAAAUAUACAUUUAAAAUGUUUUAAGGAUAGGCGAAACCACAGAAAACUGCCAGUAUUUAGCUGUCCUCACCUAUUAAAUCCAGAAAUUUCACAUGAUACGAGAAGAAAUAAAACACAAUUGCAGUUGAAGAAAUAAUAUAUCUCUAUCAACUUGGAGCAAGGGACUAGAAAUAAAUACAGGUAGAAGAUUUUCGCAGCAUGAGUCAUAGGCUUUAGUUAUACGUUAAACAUGUAUUGGUAACAGACAUUCUUUGAAACGCCUGCGUAAUAGUAACAAGAAUUGAUCACAUUGUGCAUGAAAAAUUGAAAAUUUCCAAAGCUGGGAAUAAUGUUGGUCUCAAUUCUACCUAAAAUGCCAUAAAAGUAGAUAGUAAUAAUAAAAUGUGAACAAACAAAAAGGCAAACUGAAAUGGAAGAAACAAAGUCUAUAUACAAAGUCUUAAUUCUUAAAGAUUACUCUUUGGGUAAAAGUAAACUCUGGGUGAAAGUCUAAUUCAAAACAGCAACCACAGAUGUUUAGAACAUACCAGUAACCAAAACAUUGCAUAUAAAAACUUUUAGGAUUCACAUAUAGCUAUCCUUACAGAAGAACUCUCAGCUUGAAGUUCUCUUAGAUUUAAGGGGAAACAAUAAAAUUUAAAGGGUUAGAAAAAGCACCUCUAAAUGCGUGCUAACUUAUUCUAUGAAACAACUAAUUAAACCUCUGGCGACCCUAGUCAGAAACGAGAGGGCACAAGUGCCUGGUGAUAUAAAAGAUAAAAGUAUACAAUUGCUGAUCCAGAAGAGUUAUUUUUAACUAAUAAAAGCCUGGUUGCAGCUCUAUGCCAAUAAGUAACAAAGUCAGAAUGACUUUCUUUGCAAGUAUAAAUUGCCAGUAUUAAUUCAAGAACAAGCAGAAAAACUAAGAGCUGCAAUAGUUAUGAAAGAAAUUGAAAAUAUCGUUUAAACUAUAGAUAGAUUUAAUACAGAUAUCUUUAAUAAAAUUUAAAUAUACACGCACGUAUUUUUUUAAGGUUCUUGCCCAUGGAAAUUUCACAAGUAAGCUUCUUCAAACUUUCCCAGAACAGAGCAUAUAGGGGAGGGGGAGAGAGUGGGGAGGAAGGAUGGACAGAAAAACUCCCAAUUCAUUUUGCGAAGCCAGCAUGGCCUUGAUCUCAAACCUGAACAAAGAUAGCUCUGAAAAAUAAUGAUAGUUUAACUCAUAAAAUUAGAUGCAUAUACUCUAAAUAAAGUAUUAGAAAUUAGAAUCCAUAAACAAGGACCUACUAUAUAGCACAGGGAGCUGUAUUCAAUAUCUUGUAAUAACUUAUAAUGAAAAGAUUUUGAAAAAGAAUAUAUAUAUACACAUAUGUAUAACUGAAUCACUUUGCUGUGCACCUAAAACAUUAUCAAUCAACUAUACUUCAAUAGAAAAUAAAAAUAAGUUUAAAAAUUUAAAAAACUAGAAUCUAGCAUUAUUUUAAAAGGAUAAUGACGAAAUUAGCUUUAGAUGCCAAAAAUGAAGGCUUUAUCAAUGUUAAUACAUCAUCAUAUUAACAAAUUAGAGUAAAGAAUAAGUAAUUUAAUUAAAUGCCACUGAAGAGGCAAUAGAUAAAAUUCAACAUCCAUUCUUAAUUUUAGAAUCAAUCUUGAUGAAAGGAAAUUCAAAUGUUUAUCUCUUUUCAUGAUAAAUAUAACAACAAAAACACCUAUUAUAUGUUUACUAUUUUAAAGGUUCUGUGUUAAAUGUUUUACAAUAUUUAAAAAAACCCUAAGCUGAGAUCAAUUACAAACCAACAGCCACCAUCAAGCAGAAAUUAAACCAUGAACAGAGCCACUUCCACUCAAGUUGGAAGUGAAACCCUGAUGCCAACCAUUCUUGUCACCAUUUAGUCUUAUUUUGCAGUGCUAGCCACUGCAAUUACACAAGAAACAGAAAUAAAAGGUAAGAUAUUUAAAAGAAAGAGUCAAAAUACCAGGUGAUAUGAAUAUAGAUCUAGAAAAUCAACUGGAAAAAAACCCAUUGAAACUAAUAAGAAAUUUCAUUAAGGUUGACAUUACAGAAUAAACAUACAGUAUUUAUUCUGUAAUUUACACCAGCAAUGAUUAGCUGGGGGAUCAGAGAACAAAAGAAAUGAGAAGGAGAGAAGAAAAGUAAUCUUACUCACAAUUAUGAAAAAUUAUAUAAAAUCCAUAGUCUUUUAAAAGAAGUGUGGGGAAUGCAGAUGAAUAAAACAAUACAUUUCCUGAAGGACAUAAAAUGCUUAUUCUUGGAUAAGAAUUCUUAGCAUUAUGAUACAAACUCAUCUAAAAAUUAUCUAUUAUAUAUAAAUGCAGUCAAAAAUUAAAAGCAGUUUUAUCGUAUUUUUAUUUUGACAAAAUAAUUCUAACAUUUAUACUGAAGAAUAAAAAUAAAACUGCGGGAAUAAUUAGACAGCCUCCUGCAUUCCUCAUGAAUUGCAUAAAUGAGGAGAACCAACUGGAAGGAAAUUGGGCAUUUUAGAACAAGAGUCUUUAAAAACCUACACAGCCUUUGACUCAACAAUGCCACUUUUAGCAAUUUAUCCUAAGAAAAUGAUCAGAAAGUUAUGCAAAAGUUGCUGUCAAAGUUAUACACAGCGGCAUUACAUGCAAUAAUGAAAAACUAAGAGUACUGUCAUCGAAGGCCAACACCCAGGGACCCGAUGGAUAAACGAUGUUGCAGCUCUGUGAGAAGGGUUAUGCAGCUACAAAAGGAGGGCACGUACCCUGCUGGGUGUUUGGUCAUAUUAAGGAACUACUGCUGACUUCUGAGCGCGAGGUAGUGGUAGUGUGGAUGUGUGUGCUUUGUAAGAGCCUGACUGAUUGACUGAGUUACGUAUUUAUUUAUUUGUUUAUUUAUUUUUAAGACCACACCUGUGGCACGUGAAAGUUCCCAGGCUAGGGGUCGAAUCAGAGAUGCUGCUGCCGGCUUGCGGCUUACGCCACAGCCGCAGCAACGCCAGAUCUAGGCCCUGGCAGUGACCUACAUACCCUACAGCUCACAGCAACCCACUGAGCAGGGCUAGGGAUCAAAUCCACGUUCUCAUGGAUUCUAAUAGGGUUCGUUACCGCUGAGUCACAGUGGGAACUCCAGAGCCUUUUUCUUUUAGAGACUCAGUCUUAAACAGCCACAGACACAAUUGUAUCAUGUCUGGAAUCUGCUCCAUAAUAAUCUGGAUUGCAGUGGUUUUGUGUGUGUGUGUACUGUGUGUGUAUCCUAGUGGAGAAGCUAGGAUGAGUGGUAUUGGUGGUGGGUUGAUAUUUAGGGAGCUGGGUGCAUUAUAUACCCUGUUCUCGCUAUAGUCAGCCCUCGGUGUCCACAGGUUCCACGCCCAUGAAUUCAACCAACCGUGGAUUGAAACAAAUUUUUUAAUUUCAGAAAGUUCCAAAAAGCAAAAUUUGAAUUUGCCAUGUGCGAGCAACUACUUAUACAGCAUUUACAUUGUGUUAGGUAUUAUAAGUAAUCUAGAGCUGAUUCAAAGUAUACAAGAGGA
rnacentral:lncRNA from 1 species